CAACCCUGAUCCAGCCAUGCCGCGUGCGGGAAGAAGGCCUUCGGGUUGUAAACCGCUUUUGUCAGGGAAGAAAUCUUUUGAGUUAAUACCUCGGGAGGAUGACGGUACCUGAAGAAUAAGCACCGGCUAACUACGUGCCAGCAGCCGCGGUAAUACGUAGGGUGCAAGCGUUAAUCGGAAUUACUGGGCGUAAAGCGUGCGCAGGCGGUUGUGCAAGACAGGUGUGAAAUCCCCGGGCUUAACCUGGGAACUGCAUUUGUGACUGCACAGCUGGAGUACGGCAGAGGGGGAUGGAAUUCCGCGUGUAGCAGUGAAAUGCGUAGAUAUGCGGAGGAACACCGAUGGCGAAGGCAGUCCCCUGGGCCUGUACUGACGCUCAUGCACGAAAGCGUGGGGAGCAAACAGGAUUAGAUACCCUGGUAGUCCACGCCCUAAACGAUGUCAACUGGUUGUUGGGAAGGUUCCUUCUCAGUAACGUAGCUAACGCGUGAAGUGACCGCCUGGGAG
rnacentral:rRNA from 1 species